rnacentral:rRNA from 1 species
UCUAGCGACUAGAGUUUGAUCCUGGCUCAGAGCGAACGCUGGCGGCAGGCCUAACACAUGCAAGUCUAACGGGUCCUUCGGGAUCAGUGGCGGACGGGUGAGUAACACGUGGGAACGUGCCCUGAAGUACGGAACAACUCAGGGAAACUUGAGCUAAUACCGUAUGUGCCCUUCGGGGAAAGAUUUAUCGCUUUAGGAGCGGCCCGCGUCUGAUUAGCUAGUUGGUGAGGUAAAGGCUCACCAAGGCGACGAUCAGUAGCUGGUCUGAGAGGAUGAUCAGCCACAUUGGGACUGAGACACGGCCCAAACUCCUACGGGAGGCAGCAGUGGGGAAUCUUGCGCAAUGGGCGAAAGCCUGACGCAGCCAUGCCGCGUGUAUGAUGAAGGUCUUAGGAUUGUAAAAUACUUUCACCGGGGACGAUAAUGACGGUACCCGGAGAAGAAGCCCCGGCUAACUUCGUGCCAGCCGCCGCGGUA